AGUCUCUAUAUGCAUUAGACUUGGACUGCCACAGCUUGAAAACGCUGUUAGAAAAUUUAAAAAGGAAGGCAAAGUUGGAUAUCGUCUACAAAACACAUUUGAAGAACAUGUUUAUGAGCUCGUUGCAUUUUAUUACAUUAAUUAAAACAAAACACUUGAAUGAAUUAUAAAAUCGACGAACAACAAAUUAAAAAGACAGACAUACUUCGCACGCGGAUGCAGCCACUGUUGUAGGUGGGAAGGUGGGAUACACAAGGGAAUUUAAGUAUACCUGCAAGCAACGAUAAACCAUUGCUAACAAAAAAACGAUUCUGAGCGGAGUUCAGUUAAAAAAGUG